GCUGGCGGCAUGCUUAACACAUGCAAGUCGAACGGAAACGAUAGAGAGCUUGCUCUCUAGGCGUCGAGUGGCGGACGGGUGAGUAAUGCAUAGGAAUCUGCCCAGUAGCGGGGGACAACUUGGGGAAACUCAAGCUAAUACCGCAUACGCCCUACGGGGGAAAGCGGGGGACCUUCGGGCCUCGCACUAUUGGAUGAGCCUAUGUCUGAUUAGCUUGUUGGUGGGGUAAUGGCCUACCAAGGCAACGAUCAGUAGCUGGUCUGAGAGGACGAUCAGCCACACUGGGACUGAGACACGGCCCAGACUCCUACGGGAGGCAGCAGUGGGGAAUAUUGCACAAUGGGCGCAAGCCUGAUGCAGCAAUGCCGCGUGUGUGAAGAAGGCCUGCGGGUUGUAAAGCACUUUCAGUAGGGAGGAAAUGGCAGAAGGUUAAUAACCUUUUGUCUUGACGUUACCUACAGAAGAAGCACCGGCUAACUCUGUGCCAGCAGCCGCGGUAAUACAGAGGGUGCAAGCGUUAAUCGGAAUUACUGGGCGUAAAGCGCGCGUA
rnacentral:rRNA from 1 species